UACGAAGGGGGCUAGCGUUGCUCGGAAUCACUGGGCGUAAAGGGUGCGUAGGCGGGUUUUUAAGUCAGGGGUGAAAUCUUGGAGCUCAACUCCAGAACUGCCUUUGAUACUGAAGAUCUUGAGUCCGGGAGAGGUGAGUGGAAUUCCUGGUGUAGCGGUGAAAUGCGCAGAUAUCAGGAAGAACACCCGUGGCGAAGGCGGCUCUCUGGGACGGUACUGACGCUGAGACGCGAAAGCGUGGGGAGCGAACAGG
rnacentral:rRNA from 1 species